rnacentral:lncRNA from 1 species
AUAAUAAACUCCGGUUAAUCGGAGAAAAUGGUGAAACGACGAAGGAGAGAAACACGAGAAACUUUGUUAUUGAUAAGACUCAUAAGAGUUUGUUACAAAGCUUAACCCAAAAAUUAACGUAUACUUAAGCUAUAUAAAGGAGCUUAGUAACGACAUUUAAACCAGAAAAUAACCAACUCAGUUAACCGAAGUUAACCAGAUACAUCACUCUAAU